rnacentral:rRNA from 1 species
UACAGGGGGUGCAAACGUUGCUCGGAAUCAUUGGGCGUAAAGCGCACGUAGGCGGUCUGUUAUGUCGGAUGUGAAAGCCCUUGGCUCAACUGAGGAAGUGCAUCCGAAACUGGCAGGCUAGAGUACGAAAGAGGAUCGCGGAAUUCCCGGUGUAGAGGUGAAAUUCGUAGAUAUCGGGAGGAACACCGGUGGCGAAGGCGGCGAC